ensembl:lncRNA
UGGCGUGCUGCGAUUCAUGAGGUCGCAAAGAGUCGGACACGAUUGAGCAACUGAACUGAACUGAAGACUUUAGUAUGAGGAUGACCACCACGAUGACGAACUGACCCUAUAUAACACUUUACUGAGUACUUCCUAAAUGCUGGUACUGUUAUGUACGCUCGACAUAUUCCAACUACAGGCAUCUUAUCUUUGUGGUUCCCAAGGAAAUAGGACCUGAGUCCACGAUGCCCUCCAGAGCCGAAGUUAACACAUUUGCACGUGGCCUGCUUUGCUCUGAGCCAAUGGAAACUACGCUGUAUCUGCCUCUCAUCUACACGCACACCUCCAAAACCCUAAAGUGGGUCUGAUCCGGGUCCUACAGAGGGUCAAACAGUCUCGCGCCCCCAACAAAAGCCACGGGAGUUCACUCCCGUGCCACCAGCCUCCAACUGACUGGCAAUUCGAACUUCUAACAGUUCUGCCCUUUGAACUGUGUCCCGCCCUUUGAUGCAUUCCCGGCGCCGCCUGCCAUUCCUCCAGACUCGGCCGGAGCAGACACAGGGCCAGCCUUGAGGUGGAGACAGGAAAAUCCUCCCUCAGAGGAGGCAGCCUGGCGGGUGAAAUUAAACGCAGCGCCGCCGCCGCCGACUCCCAGAACACCGCUCCUGCUUCCGGCUCCGGGGCUGCUGGUAGCGGAAAAAAGGGCAGGCCCAAGGCUUGGGAUUGGUGGAGCCUCUAGGAUGGCCGGGCCAACCGUAUCCUCCAAUCGCCGAGCAGAGAAACUUGACUUGUGGGCAGUUCCUGACUGAGCUGUCAUCUCAAAUCACAGCUCACUGGGACGCGAUAAGGGCCCAGUGCCCGGCCUCGCCCCUCUCCUGCACUGUGGGCGUGGUUAUUACCGGAAAGGUGCCGGGCAUCUGGCAUUAUCCCUGAGCGCACUGGUUACACUGAUAAGCAAUGGCCACUAACAAAAGCAAUAACUGUGUAUUUCUCCGAACACUUUCUUCAUGCUAACACACCCCUAUAGAAACAUUCCCAUUGUUGGAAUGUUUCUUCCCCGAAAAUCUAUUUCUUCCAGACAUGGGGUCAUAUUUUAUUUGUUUCUCUACGUUUUACUUUUGUUAAUAACAACGUUGGUUGUAAUAGGCCAUCGUGGUCAGUGGAUGGCAACCUAGC